rnacentral:rRNA from 1 species
GAUGAGUGCUAAGUGUUAGAGGGUUUCCGCCCUUUAGUGCUGAAGUUAACGCAUUAAGCACUCCGCCUGGGGAGUACGGCCGCAAGGCUGAAACUCAAAGGAAUUGACGGGGGCCCGCACAAGCGGUGGAGCAUGUGGUUUAAUUCGAAGCAACGCGAAGAACCUUACCAGGUCUUGACAUCCUCUGACAACCCUAGAGAUAGGGCUUCUCCUUCGGGAGCAGAGUGACAGGUGGUGCAUGGUUGUCGUCAGCUCGUGUCGUGAGAUGUUGGGUUAAGUCCCGCAACGAGCGCAACCCUUGAUCUUAGUUGCCAUCAUUAGUUGGGCACUCUAAGGUGACUGCCGGUGACAAACCGGAGGAAGGUGGGGAUGACGUCAAAUCAUCAUGCCCCUUAUGACCUGGGCUACACACGUGCUACAAUGGACGGUACAAAGAGCUGCAAGACCGCGAGGUGGAGCUAAUCUCAUAAAACCGUUCUCAUUCGGAUUGUAGGCUGCAACUCGCCUACAUGAAGCUGG